rnacentral:rRNA from 1 species
GACGUAGGGGGCCAGCGUUGUUCGGAAUUACUGGGUGUAAAGGGUUCGUAGGCGGUGUGGCAAGUCGGGAGUGAAAUCUCUGGGCUCAACCCAGAGUCUGCUUCCGAAACUGCUGUGCUUGAGUGUGGGAGAGGCGCGUGGAAUUACCGGUGUAGCAGUGAAAUGCGUAGAUAUCGGUAGGAACACCAAUGGCGAAGGCAGCUUGCUGGGCCAUUUCUGACGCUAAGAGACGAAAGCGUGGGGAGCGAACAGG